rnacentral:lncRNA from 1 species
UUCUUUUCUUUUAAUAAAAAGUUUAUAAAUUACUAAUUAAUAAGUUCUAUUACUUUACAAGGUACUAAUAAUAAUAUUAAGCAUACAUUCUUUUAAUUUUAUAAACAAGUUUCCUUUGGACUACAUGCACCUUAUUUGUUUAGGAGCUACCUGUAGAAUUCUAUAUUUUUUUAAGGGUAGGAUUAAAGGUUCCAAUCAUGGAAAAAUUUCUUUAAAUAUGUUAGACUGAAAUUCUAAUGGUUUAUUGCAACUCAAUGGAAAGUUGCCAAGUGAAUUUGCCAGACAGCCUAGGUCUCUUUCUGAUUUAGAUAGAUGGAAAGCGACAGAGUUACGGUCUUUUUUAUUAUAUUCUGGUAUGAUUGUAUUAAAAGACAUAGUUGAUUUAUGUACUUAUAAACAUUUUUUAAAUCUAUCAAUUUCAGUACGGAUUUUAUGUGACAGUAAUGCAGAAUUUAGAAACUCAAAUUUAGAGAAUGCUUGUCGCCUAAUUAAAUACUUUGUCAUAAACUCAACCGAAAUAUUUGGUCAACUAUUUUGUGUUUACAACAUACAUAGUCUUCUGCAUAUAUACGACGAUAUUGCGUUUUACAAUACUCCGCUUGACAGUAUAUCUGCUUUUCCAAUUGAAAUUUCCUGCACCAGAUUAAAAGAUUAGUUAGAUCUAAACAUAAUCCUUUAGCACAAGUAUGCAAAAGGCUUGAUGAAAUGAAAAUUUCCUGCACCAGAUUAAAAGAUUAGUUAGAUCUAAACAUAAUCCUUUAGCACAAGUAUGCAAAAGGCUUGAUGAAAUGGAUCAUCUUAUUAAAUUCAACCAAAAAAUAAAUUAUAAAAUUAAUAUUAACUUCAAGGAUAGUUGCUUCUUAACCAAACAUGGUGUCUUGUUGGUAAAAGCUAACUUUGGUAAUGACAAAUACUCUUGUUUCUAUUAUAGACAUAUGAUAAUCAAUUGCACAUAAGAGAAGGAAGUCCUGAUAUUACUGUGCAAAAGGUUACUGAAUCGUCUUUAUUUUCUUCAAGGUGUUUUGUACACCCUAAAAAGGAUCCUAAGAUAGUAUCUACUCGGAAAUAUCAAGAAGAUGAUAUUUCGAAUUUAGAGGAGGAUUUUGAAUUUCAAUCUACUUUUUUAUCUGCAUCAAAUCAACAUGAUUCGUUUUUGCAACAAGUUCAAAAAAACACUCCAAGAGGAAUUGCAGGAACUUAUUGUUAUGAUGAACCACCUGCAAGUUUUAAAGCCAUGGAUGAAAGAUGUAUGUUAAAAAAUUUUGAGCCUUGUUCAAAUGUUUUUAAAUUAUAAAUUUAUUUCAAUAAAUUAACAGAAUAAUUCAAUUGAGUUCUAUAAAAAUACGUAAAAUAAAUUUUACGCUAAUUUUAUGCUAAUUUUAUGCUAAUUUUAAAAAGUUGAUAUUGAUACUUAAUAUUGUAGGUCCGUCAACUUUAACAAAUAGGUGGAAAUUUAAUAUCAGCGUCAGUUAAUAAGGUUUUGGACGAAACUAUGACAAAAAGUGUCCAAGCUUUGUUUAACAAAGCAGGAAGAUAUGGAAAAAGAUCGUUUCAAAAAACAUUGUAUAAAGCAAUUAUAGAAACAUUGGUGUCACAUUCGACAAAAUUUGAUUUGGUCGAUAAGUUAAUUGGCGAUCAUUUGAAGAGAGCUCCUGAUAGAUUAACUUAAUAAGUUAUUUUAUUUCUUUUAUGUAUAUUUACAAUAUGAAUGAAAACAAAAUAAUUAAACUUU